rnacentral:antisense_RNA from 1 species
GGUGUUUGCAGGAGCAAUUUGCUGCGUUCUUGGAUAUCACCACCGAUAUGGUAAGGAAGGCCACAGUUCGCGAACGAAACAAAAGGGCCUCGCUCGAACAUGAUGAUCUCUGCAUCUUCACUUAAACGACGCGCACGAGCAGCAGCAGAAGCACCACCAGCUACACCAC